rnacentral:rRNA from 1 species
GACGAACCGUACGAACGUUAUUCGGAAUUACUGGGCUUAAAGGGUGCGUAGGCUGUGCGGAAAGUUGGGCGUGAAAUACCUCAGCUUAACUGAGGGACUGCGUUCAAAACUACCGUGCUCGAGGGAGACAGAGGUAAGCGGAACUGAGGGUGGAGCGGUGAAAUGCGUUGAUAUCCUCAGGAACACCGGUGGCGAAAGCGGCUUACUGGGUCUCUUCUGACGCUGAUGCACGAAAGCUAGGGUAGCAAACGGG